ensembl:lncRNA
ACAGAAACAGACAUUUGUGUUGGAGUGAACAGGUAAGAUUUAUAAACCACGCUCUGUUGAUUUUUUUGUGAUUUACUGUCAAUAAAUGUUUGACCUUUCCUGUUUUAUUUUGAAACUACAGCACGAUGCUGCAGCUCCACCUGGACAGCAGACGGUUGAACGGAAGUUUCUGUAACUUUCCUGUUGAGGAAUUUGCUUGUGCCUCGGUGAGACACCGACACAUCUCUGAUCUGCAGCCGUCCUAAAGCUGCUGACUCAUGAAACUGUUCGUUUGAUACAUUUUCUCAUCUCAUCUCACACUGUUGUCUUUCUGCUCCGUCAUCACAGCUGUCAGGGCUGAACGCCGUGGAUCUGGCUGUGUUGUUGACAUGUCAUCGCUCCUCCAACUCCAGCAGCUCCAGACCCGUCUGGAAGCUUCUCCUCUCCAAAGCCUCACAUGUGCUGGAUGAAGCUCUGGAUUUUCUUACCAACAAGGUGUGAAUCAGCAACGCUCCUCACGUUACUCAUUCCUGAUCAGAUCUAGACACUGUGGGUGUUUUUUUCCUUGCAGACUCUCGACCCCAGAAAUCCCGCAGUGAUGAUGAUUUUGGACGCUAUACGAGAAAUUCGAUUGGAUACAUUCAGCACAGCCGGCCUCAAUAAUCCCGCCCUCAUCCAGCUGUGGUUCAAACGACGACUUCUUCCUUUCCUGCCUGCAGUUUCCACUGACUUCCUGUCAUGUCUCACCACGAAGGGUUUGAACUGCAGCAGCUACCAGCAGAUUUUGCAGGUUUUGAGCCGUGUCCAGCCACACAUGACACACUCCGGGCAGAUGUUUGUCUACACACACUUCAUAAAGGCUUUCCUGACCAGGCAGAACACCACAGAUGUCAGCUGCAGCUCAAACACCAACAACAGUGGAGACUGGCUGCAGAAGAACUUGGGAGGUUUCUCCGCCGUCGUGUCCUUCCGGGACCUGCGGAUGCUCUACUCCAACUUCUCCGGGAUGGGAGCCUUACCACAGCUGACGGUCAGACAGCUGGCAGAGAUGUCCGCCACGCCUGGACAGCUCAACUCCUCUGCCCAGGUUGCCACGGUGAUGAAACACGUCCCCAGCGAGCGCCUCUCGGCCUUCUUCGAUGACUUCUCGCCUGCUAUAAGCGUGAGUGUUAAAUUAAACACCAAUUCUUAAAUCACAUCUUGUGAAACGUCGUCUUUGAUGAAAAAGGUGUGUUAUUUUGAAAACUUCCUGUCUUUGUUUGCUUAUCCUUAUUUUCUCCUCGUCCGCAGAAUCAUCAAAACAGCACAACAACUGCGGUGAGGUCGGCCAUGUUGCAAGUCGUGUUUGAUCGUGCAGACCUCUCGAACACCUCGACGGUAUCUGAUGCAGCUGUGAUGCUGUGGCUCCACAACCGGAUGAGCCCCCUGCUGGUCGACCUGUCGCCAAACCACGUUGCGCCGUUCUUCCGCAUUCUGGCGGGAAGAAACUGCAGCAUCGAGCAGCAGGGGUGAGGAGUCUUUUAAAACGUUGUGUCAUUUUGUGCGUUCCUCUUUGCCCGUACAGCAAACGUCACAUGU